rnacentral:lncRNA from 1 species
AGAAAUUGAAAGCAACCAUCCCUGGUUUCCCUGCAUUUGGGCUAAGAUCUUGCCACAACCAUGAUCCAGAAAUUACACUGCUCUGAGCAGAGAAUCCUGGGCAUUGAACACGUUUUGCAUGGUCUCAGAGGGAAUGGUCUCUUCUUCAGGGCUGGACUCUUCCCCAGGGAGGGGUAA